GAAAGCAGGAAAGGGCGUACGGCGGAUGCCUUGGCUCCGGAAGGCGAAGAAGGACGCGGCAAGCUGCGAAAAGCCGCGGGUAGGUGCAUGCGACCGUUGAUCCGCGGAUGUCCGAAUGGGGCAACCCCUCCGGCUGAAGGCCGGAGAUCCCUGCCUAUAGCAGGGAGGCAAACGCAGGGAACUGAAACAUCUUAGUACCUGCAGGAAAAGAAAACAAGAGUGAUUCCCCCAGUAGUGGCGAGCGACCGGGGAACAGCCCAAACCGCAGGGGUUCCGGCCCCUGCGGGGUUGUAGGGCCGGAGACAUUGGAAAGCAGAAUCGAGCGGAACGAUCUGGAAAGUUCGGCCGCAGCGGGUGACAGCCCCUUACGCGAAGUUUCUCCUUUUCAUAUCCGGAUCCCUGAGUAGCGCGGGGCACGUGGAACCCUGUGUGAAUCCGGCGGGACCAUCCGCCAAGGCUAAAUACUCUCCGGAGACCGAUAGUGCACCAGUACCGUGAGGGAAAGGUCAAAAGAACCCCGCGCAGGGGAGUGAAACAGAUCCUGAAACCGUACGCCUACAAGCGGUCGGAGCACCUUGAUGGUGUGACGGCGUGCCUUUUGCAUAAUGAACCUACGAGUUGCCGUCGCCGGCGAGGUUAAGCGCAACUGAUGCGCGCAGCCGAAGCGAAAGCGAGUCUGAAGAGGGCGUAUAGUCCGCGGCGGCAGACGCGAAACCGAGUGAUCUACCCGUGGUCAGGAUGAAGUCCGGGUAACUCCGGAUGGAGGUCCGAACCGAUAAGCGUUGAAAAGCUUCCGGAUGAACUGCGGGUAGGAGUGAAAGGCCAAUCAAACUCGGAGAUAGCUCGUACUCCCCGAAAAGCAUUUAGGUGCUGCCUGGGGCGUUCCCCGCAUGAGGUAGAGCGACCGGCUGGAUGCGAGGGCUUCACCGCCUAUCAAGUCCUGUCGAACUCCGAAUGCAUGCGGGCCAAGCCCUGGAGAAAGGGGACGGGUGCUAACGUCCGUUCCCGAGAGGAGAAGAAUCCAGACCACCGGCCAAGGCCCCGAAGUGGAGUCUAAGUUAGUCUAACGAAGUCGCUUUCCGGUGACAGCUAGGAUGUUGGCUUGGAAGCAGCCAUUCAUUCAAAGAGUGCGUAACAGCUCACUAGUCGAGGAAGGCGGCAUGGAUAAUAAUCGGGUAUCAAGAUUCCCGCCGAAGCCGUGGGAUCCUUUUAUGGAUCGGUAGGGGAGCAUUCCAGUCUGCGUCGAAGGCGGUGCGCGAGCCCCGCUGGAGCGUCUGGAAAAGCAGAUGUAGGUAUAAGUAACGAUAAGGGGGGUGGGAUUCCCCCCCGCCGCAAGACCAAGGGUUCCCGGGCAACGUCAAUCGUCCCGGGGUAAGCCGGUCCCUAAGGCUAAGCCGAACGGCGAUGCCGAUGGAAAAACGGUCAACAUUCCGUUGCCGGUCAUGGGGGCGAUGCGGAGACGCGGAAGUGACACCGCCGCCGGCUGACGGAACAGCCGGUUGAAGGGUGUAGGUGCUGAGGGGCGCAGGCAAAUCCACGCCCCGAGCCGAACCUGAGAGUAUGCCUUUCCCUUCGGGGCGAGGCAAUAGCGCGGGUAACCCCGCCGCCGAGAAAAUCCGCUAAGCUUAACCCCAUGUCCGUCCGUACCCUAAACGGACACACGUGGUCGGGUAGAACAUACUGAGGCGCUCGGGUGAUUCGCGGUUAAGGAACUAGGCAAAUUGACCCCGUAACUUCGGGAAAAGGGGUCCUCCGCUCCGAAAGCGGAGGGCGCAGAGAAUAGGUCCAGGCAACUGUUUACCAAAAACACAGGACUGUGCCAAGCAUAGAGGCGACGUAUACAGUCUGACACCUGCCCGGUGCCGGAAGGUUAAGAGGAGACGUCAUCUUCGGAGAAGCGUUGAAUUGAAGCCCCGGUAAACGGCGGCCGUAACUAUAACGGUCCUAAGGUAGCGAAAUUCCUUGUCGGGGAAGUUCCGACCUGCACGAAUGGUGUAAUGAUCCGGACACUGUCUCAACCGCGAGCCCGGUGAAAUUGUAGUAUCGGUGAUGAUGCCGAUUACCCGCGAUGGGACGAAAAGACCCCGUGAACCUUUACUGCAGCUUAGUGCUGCGUCCGGGCAUCGGAUGUGUAGGAUAGGCCGGAGGCUUUGAAGCGGUCACGCCAGUGAUCGUGGAGCCGUCGUUGAAAUACGGCCCUUCCGCUGUCUGGUCGCUAACUCCCUGUGGGAGGACACCGCUUGGCGGGCAGUUUGACUGGGGUGGUCGCCUCCAAAAGCGUAACGGAGGCUCCUAAAGGUACCCUCAGGACGAUCGGUAACCGUCCGCAGAGUGCAAUGGCAUAAGGGUGCUUGACUGGGAGGCAGACAUGCCGAGCAGGUGGGAAACCAGAGCAUAGUGAUCCGGUGUUUCCGAAUGGAAGGGACAUCGCUCAAAGGAUAAAAGGUACUCCGGGG
rnacentral:rRNA from 1 species